GACGAACGCUGGCGGCGUGCUUAACACAUGCAAGUCGAACGGAAAGGCCCUGCUUUUGUGGGGUGCUCGAGUGGCGAACGGGUGAGUAACACGUGAGUAACCUGCCCUUGACUUUGGGAUAACUUCAGGAAACUGGGGCUAAUACCGGAUAGGAGCUCCUGCUGCAUGGUGGGGGUUGGAAAGUUUCGGCGGUUGGGGAUGGACUCGCGGCUUAUCAGCUUGUUGGUGGGGUAGUGGCUUACCAAGGCUUUGACGGGUAGGCGGCCUGAGAGGGUGACCGGCCACAUUGGGACUGAGGUACGGCCCAGACUCCUACGGGAGGCAGCAGUGGGGAAUAUUGCGCAAUGGGCGGAAGCCUGAUGCAGCAACGCCGCGUGCGGGAUGACGGCCUUCGGGUUGUAAACCGCUUUCGCCUGUGACGAAGCGUGAGUGACGGUAAUGGGUAAAGAAGCACCGGCUAACUACGUG
rnacentral:rRNA from 1 species